rnacentral:rRNA from 1 species
UACGGAGGGUGCAAGCGUUGUCCGGAAUCACUGGGCGUAAAGGGCGCGUAGGCGGCUCAUGAAGGCUGUGGUGAAAGUCCGGGGCUCAACCUCGGAUCGGCCGUGGCGACUCGUGGGCUGGAGCACUGUAGAGGCGGGUGGAAUUCCGGGUGUAGCGGUGGAAUGCGCAGGAUAUCAGGAGGAACACCGGUGGCGAAGGCGGGUCUCUGGGCCGAUACUGACGCUGAGGAGCGAAAGCGUGGGGAGCGAACAGG